AAAUUGAAGAGUUUGAUCAUGGCUCAGAUUGAACGCUGGCGGCAGGCCUAACACAUGCAAGUCGAACGGUAACAGAAAGCAGCUUGCUGCUUUGCUGACGAGUGGCGGACGGGUGAGUAAUGUCUGGGAAACUGCCUGAUGGAGGGGGAUAACUACUGGAAACGGUAGCUAAUACCGCAUAAUGUCGCAAGACCAAAGAGGGGGACCUUCGGGCCUCUUGCCAUCGGAUGUGCCCAGGUGGGAUUAGCUAGUAGGUGGGGUAACGGCUCACCUAGGCGACGAUCCCUA
rnacentral:rRNA from 1 species